UUCGUAGGCGGUGUGGCAAGUUGGGAGUGAAAUCUCUGGGCUUAACCCAGAGGCUGCUUCCAAAACUGCUGUGCUUGAGUGUGGGAGAGGUGCGUGGAAUUGCAGGUGUAGCGGUGAAAUGCGUAGAUAUCUGCAGGAACACCCGUGGCGAAAGCGGCGCACUGGACCACAACUGACGCUGAGGAACGAAAGCUAGGGGAGCAAACAGGAUUAGAUACCCUGGUAGUCCUAGCCCUAAACGAUCAGGACUUGGGGUGGCUCACGUUCGUGAGUCGUCCCGGAGCUAACGCGUUAAGUCCUGCACCUGGGGAGUACGGUCGCAAGACUGAA
rnacentral:rRNA from 1 species